rnacentral:rRNA from 1 species
CAGUUCGGAUUGUAGUCUGNAACUCGACUACAUGAAGCUGGAAUCGCUAGUAAUCGCGAAUCAGAAUGUCGCGGUGAAUACGUUCCCGGGUCCUUGUACACACCGCCCGUCACACCAUGGGAGCCGGGAAUGCCCGAAGUCGGUGACCUAACCGUAAGGAAGGAGCCGCCGAAGGCAGGUCUGGUAACUGGGGUGAAGUCGUAACAAGGUACC